rnacentral:rRNA from 1 species
UGCAGUCGACGCGAAAGCCCCCUUCGGGGGGCAAGUAGAGUGGCGAAAGGGCGAGUAAUGCAUGGGUAACGUGCCUUUUAGCACGGGGAUAGCUGUGGGAAACUGCAGGUAAUACCCGAUAAGACCACAGUAUCAUAUGGUACAGCGGUCAAAUGGUGGGGAUCCGUUUCGGCGGACCUACCGGCUUGAGAGCGGCCCAUGUCCUAUCAGCUUGUUGGUGAGGUAACGGCUCACCAAGGCUUCGACGGGUACCGGGACUGAGAGGUUGACCCGGCGCAUUGGGACUGAGACACUGCCCAGACUCCUACGGGAGGCUGCAGUAACGAAUAUUCCGCAAUGGACGAAAGUCUGACGGAGCGACGCCGCGUGCGGGAAUAAGCCCCUCGGGGUGUAAACCGCUGUCAGGGACUACCAAGCAAAGAGGGCUAAUAUCUCUCGGCGUUGAGGAAUCCCAGAGGAAGCCACGGCUAACUUCGUGCCAGCAGCCGCGGUAAUACGAAGGUGGCAAGCGUUGUUCGGAAUCAUUGGGCUUAAAGCGUAUGCAGGCGGCCUAUUUAGCGUCUUGUGAAAUCCCUCGGCUCAACCGAGGAAUUGCUCGGCGAACUGGUAGGCUUGAGGCAAGUAGGGGUGUGUGGAACUCUUGGUGGAGCGGUGGAAUGCGUAGAUAUCAAGAGGAACGCCGGUGGCGAAGGCGACACACUGGGCUUGUCCUGACGCUGAGAUACGAAAGCUAGGGUAGCGAACGGGAUUAGAUACCCCGGUAGUCCUAGCCCUAAACGA